CAAUCCCUUUCCUCCAGACACAGAGGAAGAUGCUUCUCUCCCUCAUCUUCCAGUUUCACUCGCAGGUUCCCCAACACCCACUCAGAGACAUGUGGAUCGCUGGUGUCGUAAGUCACAAAGACGUCAUAAGCACUGUCAGGCCUUUCAACACUCAUUCACUGAUGUGUGCUCCCGUCUUACCUCCUGCCGCCAAACUUUCUCCGUGUUUGAUUUGGACUUUCCAUAGGCAAGUGAACUUGUCUGACUAAGCCAUUCAGUUGUGAUCACACACAGCGCCCCUGCCCAAGUAGUGAGUGUCCAGUGCCCUGGGGGAGGAGACCGAGCCCGUCGCUUCUGCCUCAGUAAUGAAACAACAUCACAUUCCGGGCCAGUGCAUCAGAAAACACAGAGGGAUCAAUGCCCGAACAGCUGGACUCCAAUGAGUGGCUGCGCUCGUAGAGGCUGCCUCGAUGAGCAGGGCCGUCAUGACAAACAUGCUCUGUUUGGGUGAAGUUCACGCGUGACGUUCGAUUCCAAUGUUAAUAGAUGGAAUAAGACAUGUUUGAGUUUUAGAGAGCUUUGUCUUGAUGGUGUCAUUUACAACAUUUCAGCACACAACCAAAUUGCAGUAUCUGAAAUAUGAAUCUGAUCUCUGUGAGAGGCAUUUGGAAAUGGCAUGUGUUUUAGCAUCCAUGAGAGCUUAAAAAUUAAGCUGCUACCGUAAUCCAAACUCUAUCACUCUCUGCCUGCCAACUGUCACCCUUAUCAGAGCCAAACCUAAAUCCUAUAUAAACCAGGAAUUAAAUCUUAACCUAAAUGUUGCAGGAUGGCAUCAGGUAUUAUUAUAAUAUUUGAUUACAAUUGCUGAGUGUUUUAUACAUUGAAUUCCAGCUCGUCACAGUACAUUUGUAAUGUUAUAUCUGCACUAAAUUCAAUGUAUUAAAAGAGUCCUAAUGUUUUUUUAGGGAAUUUUCUCUGAAAUCCAAGGCCCUUUAACAUCAUGAUAGUUCACGCUGGAUUAUGCCAUGCAGACUCUCUCAUGCAUGAAUGGCAUACAAAGUCUUCCAUUAGUUAUGAACUGAGGCACGUGUCUAUGCCUCUGCAAGCAAAUAGAACUGCUUGCAUAACACAUCUCCUGCCAUGUAAACACAGCAGGCUAUGACAAACUCUUAAAGUUUAGCUCGCUAUGUUACAACGCCACUGGAAGAGAAAGUCCGAUUGUCACAACAUUUCUUGCUACAAUUUUCCAGUAAUAAGUGCACCGUGCAAACGGAGCACACUUUCUUUGAUGCACGUACAGUACAGUAGCUCAGCAGGGCCAUAUGGCCACAAUGGUGCAAUGCGUGAGGUUAAAGCAGACAAAAGCAGACCUUUCUGUGAGAUAAAUACUGCACAUGAAUCCAUCCAAUCAUGUGGCCUGACACCCGCCCCUGGGCCACAGUGCGCUGCAUCAGUGGCCUGUUUUUUUCCGUGACACACAGGGCGCAUCACUUAGAGCGGGGCUGUUCAGAGUGCAAUAACCCUGCACAGUGUAUACAAAGUGAGGAUCACGUUUAGCAUGAUGUCUUGGGGUCACAACAGAGAUGAUUUAAGAGGGUGAUGAUAGGUCGUGUGUGUUCUGAGACUCAUCUGAAUUAAUGUGCUGUUCACUGUGUGUGGGGGAACAAUAAAACAAAGCUGCAUGCUCUUUUACAAAAAGCUUUGACAGGUUUUAAUACUGCUGAGUACUUUUAAAAAAAAUUGGUAUGAAACAUGGGUGAAUGGCACCAAAAAAAUCCCACAUUUUUUAAACAAUAAAUAAUUAAUAAUGACUAAAAAAGGAAGCUAAACAGGUUGCAACAUUCAUUUAGCAAAAGACACUGUUACGUCAGUCAGAUUUGUUCCUCACACAACAACAACAAGGAAGUGACUUUUUCAUGACUUUAUGGAGCAGAACAAACAGAAGAUGCACUCAUUUGCAUAAAAUGAUGAGAGUCACUCCAUGCAGAACAGGAAAACUCAUAUUAAUAUAAUAAGAGCGGGCCUCACUAAAGGUUACACAAGUAUUUGGAAAAAACAUUGAGUGCAUUUACAGCAAUAAUGCCAGUUAAACUAUUUGACUACACAUCUGUGCCAAAAUAAUUACCUUUACAUAAGAAUGACGAAUAGGCAAUUCAUCACAAUCUAUUUAACAAAUUAGAAACUGAUUAACAAAGUUGGACACAGCAAUUGCCCUCAUUAAAGUCUGAAAGGUGUUCUGGCUGUUUAAAUCAUUAACAUGAAGGUGCACUAUUUAAUGAAACUGCUUCUUUCACUGUAUCUUUGCUCAUUACAUUUUCUAGGGCAUAAUUAACAAUCAGCAAAGUGGAACACAAACAAGCCCAACAGGCAUAAAAAACAAUUGUCCUAAUAAACCAGUAAAUAUACUUAUACCCCUAGACAGGAAGUACACAGAAGUCAAUGGCAGUCAAUGAGAUCCCAGGAUAUCACAUUCCUCAAACCAGAUAGCCACUCUCGUGUCAACACACUACAGAAGCUCCGCCCUGCUAGCCUGGGAGGAUAGGAUUCACAGCAUCCAGCAAUUAUCUGUAAUGUGGGAGAAAAAUCAAUGUGCCCAUGGAAAGCUGCUAAGGUCACCAAGCCGGCAUUGCUGCUUAAAUCAGAAGCUCAGUGUUGCUGCAGGCUGAGCUCCGAGCCUAUCAGGAGGCAUCUGUGAGGACACGCAUCACUUGUAAUGCCAAAGAUUUCUUUAAUCAUGGACUGACGACGCGGAAUAAAGUUUUGCAUGUGUUGUCAUCUAAGAUCAUCUAUUAAUGCAGAUGUAAACUUUCAUUUUUCAAAGGAAUCUUUUCACAGAAUGAAAUUCUUGGUUUAUAGUCUGUACAGUACACUUGCUACAGACAAUGCUGACUUUAAUGUACUUUUUCUUAUAGGUAGUUAUGCAUAUAUUUUCAGCUAAUUAAAUGUAUUUUGAUUCAAAACAAUGUUUUCACACUUAAACCUGAAAAUAAUUUUACAGACCUUUGCACAGUUAACUUGAAAGAACAUACUGUAGGUUCUACAAUCUAUACAGAUGUAGUUACAGAUCGGAUUUGCUCUACUAGUUUCUCUAUGAUAUAACACAGAUGGGUGGGGCUCAUGUUCAAGUCCUAAAUAUCCAAAUGGCUCAUCGUUGAACAUACAGUAACUGUCAAUCAAUUUUAAAUUAAAUUAGACUUAUAAAAACCACAGACUCACCUCUGUUGCUCUUGUUUUUGGUCCAAACUGGCGACAACAUAAAUUUCAUUUUCGCCUGUAUUGUCAGUUUCCAUGUCUCCUCUCUCAGGUGGACACACAGCUAAUGGCCGGCAAGCUUCAAAUAUAGCCUCUUUGUGGGUUAGAAGAUCCCAGCAGCACUGAAAGGGGAGGGGAGGCCUCCUUGAAACAUUGAUAGUCUGGUGUAAAUUCUAUUAACAGCAAAGGGAUAUUCAGGAGAAUGAAAAAUCAAUACCUUGUGGCCAGUAAUGUUUGAAGGAUUGGGCUGAGUGGAAAUGUGAGAUGGCCAGGCCCUGACGCAGAGUCUGCUUCUGUAAGUGGUUAAUCAAGUGCUUAUCUGACAUCCAGAUUGCAUUUUCCUCUCACCAUUCCUCCCAUUUUCCCCUUUACUUUAGAGAAGACGUGCUAUCAAAUUUAAGAGAUGGUAAUCAGAAUAAUAAUAGCAGUGGACAAUCUGAUAAACCUGCACUCUAAUAAAGGGGUUUGAAAGCA